ACGGGUGAGUAACGCGUGGGAAUCUACCCAUCUCUACGGAACAACUCCGGGAAACUGGAGCUAAUACCGUAUACGUCCUUUUGGAGAAAGAUUUAUCGGAGAUGGAUGAGCCCGCGUUGGAUUAGCUAGUUGGUGGGGUAAUGGCCUACCAAGGCGACGAUCCAUAGCUGGUCUGAGAGGAUGAUCAGCCACACUGGGACUGAGACACGGCCCAGACUCCUACGGGAGGCAGCAGUGGGGAAUAUUGGACAAUGGGCGCAAGCCUGAUCCAGCCAUGCCGCGUGAGUGACGAAGGCCCUAGGGUUGUAAAGCUCUUUCAACGGUGAAGAUAAUGACGGUAACCGUAGAAGAAGCCCCGGCUAACUUCGUGCCAGCAGCCGCGGUAAUACGAAGGGGGCUAGCGUUGUUCGGAAUUACUGGGCGUAAAGCGCACGUAGGCGGAUACUUAAGUCAGGGGUGAAAUCCCGGGGCUCAACCCCGGAACUGCCUUUGAUACUGGGUAUCUCGAGUCCGGAAGAGGUGAGUGGAAUUCCGAGUGUAGAGGUGAAAUUCGUAGA
rnacentral:rRNA from 1 species